AUACAUUCUAUGAUUCUGUGGCACAGGUUGCACAGUAACCAGGCAGAGAGGAGCAAGAUACUCAACAGAUACCGCAGGAAGACACUCUCCUGUCUAACGUAGGCGUGAUUGUUCCUGCUGUCAAAAUGCACCUGUGGAUUCACACAGAGAAGUUCACUGCGGGACUGUUUAUCAUUGGUCUCUCUAGAAGCCUAUGGACCUUGCUGCAGAACACCAACACCACACCUGUAGAUAAGCACAGCCUGAAUUAUUUGCUGCUGAGGAGGUUGCUCUAGCACAUCUUGGCAAAGAGAAACAAUAAAAUUGAUGCAGGCUUCCAACAAAGCCAAAGAGAUGAGAAAUGACAGAAGACAAUGACUUCCCAUGGCUAAGGAUGACUACCGUCAGCAGCUGUAAAAGCAUGACAAAACAGGUCCAUAUGCCAUGUAUAAAUAAAGGCAUUGACAAAACAGCAAGAGAGAGGAUCUGCUGAACAGCAACA